AUUGAACGCUGGCGGCAGGCUUAACACAUGCAAGUCGAGCGGGGUGAUGGUGCUUGCACUAUCACUUAGCGGCGGACGGGUGAGUAAUGCUUAGGAAUCUGCCUAUUAGUGGGGGACAACAUCUCGAAAGGGAUGCUAAUACCGCAUACGUCCUACGGGAGAAAGCAGGGGAUCACUUGUGACCUUGCGCUAAUAGAUGAGCCUAAGUCGGAUUAGCUAGUUGGUGGGGUAAAGGCCUACCAAGGCGGCGAUCUGUAGCGGGUCUGAGAGGAUGAUCCGCCACACUGGGACUGAGACACGGCCCAGACUCCUACGGGAGGCAGCAGUGGGGAAUAUUGGACAAUGGGGGGAACCCUGAUCCAGCCAUGCCGCGUGUGUGAAGAAGGCCUUAUGGUUGUAAAGCACUUUAAGCGAGGAGGGGGCUCUUUUGGUUAAUACCCAAGAUGAGUGGACGUUACUCGCAGAAUAAGCACCGGCUAACUCUGUGCCAGCAGCCGCCGUAA
rnacentral:rRNA from 1 species